rnacentral:miRNA from 14 species
CCGAGGUUUCCACGGCGCAUCCGC